CAAUCCCCGCGCACCCUCCGCUCCCAAUCCUGGUCGCGGGGUUGCUGCGCCAGAGCCCACACCCGCACCAACCCUAGCCGCCACACCUCUCCUUCCUCCCUUGCUCAACAGCGCCGCACCCCUCCCUCCUUGCUGCUCGUCCGGAUAUCCGCCGGCCGCCGCAUCCCUUCUCCCCCUUCCUCCUCCUUCCUCCUUUCCGCUGGCGCCGACGAGGGGGCCUCCCGCAUGGACGGCCAGGUCUUCAAACCGGGGGUAGAGGAGCAGGGGAGGGCUAAGAAGCCGGCGAUGGGGGUGGAGCAGCCAGGAGGGCCAAGAAGCCGGCGGUGGGUGUGGAGCAGCCAGGAGGGCCAAGAAGCCGGCGGUGGAGGUAGAGGAGCAGGGGAGGGCUAAGAAAGCCGGCCGGGAGCACACCACCGUAGGUGUCAAGGGAGUCGUGGACAAGCCGCCAGGAGGAGAAAGCUCCCAGUUUGAGGAGGAGACUACGGCACAGGUGGUGUUUUGAAAUCUAGAUUGAUUUGGUACUGUAUGUGGUGUGGUGUGCCCUUGCCAGGAAUAUCUAAUGUGUGUCAUGACACAAUCAAUUGUAGAGCUGGGAAGCAUGAUGCUCGAUUAGUGGACUGCCGCUUGAGAAGAAGCUUGUCAUAUGUCUCUUUGAGCCGCGACGGCUAGGGGCCUUCGAAGAACACGGGGUUUGACAUAGCCAUUGAGGAAGUGCAGGAUACAAACCAGAUGUAAACAAAGAGGAUAUGGAUUCAGUACGGCCACAAGUGAAGGAAUGUUGUUCCAAUUUGGAUCUUGGAGAAUGUUUUCUCACUGUGGUUCAGGUUAAACUGUUGUUCUACUGUUCCUGCUCAGCCUCCUAAUGUUCUAUGUCUUGAUGCGCCUUCUUCCAGCUUCUCUAUUGGUUUUCUCUUCACACUGAUGUUUGAAUUGAUGGCUAGAAAUACAGAGUGCCAUUUUGUCUUAUGGAGUGAUAAUUAAGAAGACAUACAUAGCUACAAAGGGAUUGCUCAAAUGAAACAAGUUGCUAAUUUUGUAUCUUUGACACUCAUGGAAAAGGAAAAUUCCUAGGGAUUUGAUUGAUGGAGGCAUCGCUAUUUGGCGCUGGAUUAUCCAUUUUUGCAGCACCAGCAAUGUUGUUUUUGUUUGGAAUGGCCAGUUCUCAAUUUCUAAAUCAGCUAUACUAUACUUCUUGUCAGGUUACAUUAUCUUGCUUCGUUUCAGUCUAUAUGUAGCACAAAAAUACUCGGUGACAUGGUUGGUUUGUAUGUUACACUAAUGAACACCACCAUAAGGAAAAGGGCAUUGCACU